AUGUGGGUGGGUGCAGCAUAUGAACUAAAACUGGAACAAUUCAGACAAGAUCAGCCUGGCCUUGUGUAAGGAGGACAUGCAAACUCAUGAGCACCUCCAUAUAUUG